AGGACAUUGGAGCAGGAAAACCUUAGCUGUUGCUGCUGUGGAGUCGUGAUUAUCCAGGCCCAAUGGCUAGAAGUCAAAGUUUCCUAGAUGUGAGUUCACUAACUUGUGCGGGAGCGCCUACAUUACAAUCAUCUGAGAACUUGUUAUAAAUAUAGAUCCCUUGGUCCCAGCUCAAGAUUCUUCCCCCCAGCUCUAGACAUUUUGAUUCGGCCAUUCAGGAGUGGGGACUGAGUGAUACUGAGUGAUAGUUGAUACUGAGACAGAAUUGUAUCAAAUUCCAUUUUAGGUUGUUCAUUUACUUAUAAUAAAAAUGGCUCUUCUCCUUUGA